ensembl:lncRNA
CUGCUGAGCCCUAGCCAAGUAGCUGAGCUGACACUGAGCUCCGGAGCGCUGAACAACACCCAUCAGAUCGACGCUGUGUUCGACCGCCUGGAGAAUGGCAACGCUUUCAAGAACGUGGAGGAGUUUCUGACGGCUCUAACCGCAUCUCCUGAGAUUCCCGAUAUCACCCCCGCUGUGAGAGACGUGAUGAUGAACCGAACCUUCGGGAUCAUUGAACUGAAGCUCCCGGGAUUUGUGGCUCAUGACUGGGAAGUGUGGUUCACCGAGAAGCUCAUCCCUGUCCUCCCCAGUUUCACCGCAGGAAUGCUGCUUAAGGUCACAGCUGACAUCAACUGCACCAACUACCAUGUGAUCGUUGAGGGAAUGGGAGAUGUUUUCGA